AACGAACGCUGGCGGCAGGCCUAAUACAAGCAAGUCGAACGCCCCGCAAGGGGAGUGGCGCACGGGUGAGUAACGCGUGGGGAUGUGCCCUUGGGUACGGAACAACACCGGGAAACUGGUGCUAAUACCGUAUAAUGACUCCGGUCCAAAGAUUUAUCGCCCAAGGAUCAACCCGCGUUGGAUUAGCUAGUUGGUGAGGUAAUGGCUCACCAAGGCGACGAUCCAUAGCUGGUCUUAGAGGAUGAUCAGCCACACUGGAACUGAGACACGGUCCAGACUCCUACGAGAGGCAGCAGUAAGGAAUAUUGGACAAUGGGGGAAACCCUGAUCCAGCCAUGCCGCGUGAAUGAAGAAGGCCUUAGGGUUGUAAAGUUCUUUUAGUGGUGAAGAUAAUGACGGUAGCCACAGAAAAAGCUCCGGCUAACUCCGUGCCAGCAGCCGCGGUAA
rnacentral:rRNA from 1 species